rnacentral:rRNA from 1 species
AUCGAAGUCUGCAACCCGACUUCGUGAAGCUGGAUUCGCUAGUAAUCGCGCAUCAGCCACGGCGCGGUGAAUACGUUCCCGGGCUUGUACACACCGCCCGUCAAGCCAUGGGAGCCGGGGGUACCUGAAGUACGUAACCGCAAGGAGCGUCCUAGGGUAAAACUGGUGACUGGGGCUAAGUCGUAACAAGGUAAC